GCUACAGUGUGACGCGCGAGUCAUCAGGAAGUGAGAGCCGUGGUGUGUACUUUACUCUAGCUUUUGCUGGUGUUGCACUGAUGAUGGCCAUGGUAGUUGGUAUUGUUGUUCUUCGGCGUAGGAACAGCACCAACCCCCACAAUCAAGGAUUUAUGGAAGUGGACCAGGCCAUCACUCCAGAAGAGAGGCAUGUAGCUAAUAUGCAGGUCAAUGGUUAUGAAAACCCCACUUAUAAAUAUUUUGAAGAAAAAUAAACAAGCGAACAAGGGGCAUUUAUACAUCCCAUAUAAAUAAGAGGGGAACCAUUCGUCCGUUUUCCCAACAUCAGACACCUGUUGACUGAGAGCAUUAAUUAUAGACUGAGAACUUACAAGUGACCCCAAACUAGGUUGCUUUAAGGGUCAUUUACAUAAGAAAUGGUAAAUGGAGAUAUUGGGUAAGUGGUAGCAAAGCUAAGCUCACAGGUGCUGAUGGUAUGCAUUGUGAUUUCAGAAUCAUCAGUUGUCAAUACAGUCAA